rnacentral:rRNA from 1 species
UAAUACGGAGGAUCCGAGCGUUAUCCGGAUUUAUUGGGUUUAAAGGGAGCGUAGGUGGGCUUAUAAGUCAGUUGUGAAAGUUUGCGGCUCAACCGUAAAAUUGCAGUUGAUACUGUUCGUCUUGAGUUAAGUAUAGGUGGGCGGAAUUCGUGGUGUAGCGGUGAAAUGCUUAGAUAUCACGAAGAACUCCGAUUGCGAAGGCAGCUCACUGGACUUUUACUGACACUGAUGCUCGAAAGUGUGGGUAUCAAACAGG